UACGUAGGGUGCGAGCGUUAAUCGGAAUGACUGGGCGUAAAGGGUGUGUAGGCGGUCUGUUAAGUACUGAUGUGAAAUCCCCGGGCUCAACCUGGGAACUGCGUUGGAAACUGGCAAACUAGAGUACGUAGGAGGGGGGUGGAAUUCCACGUGUAGCAGUGAAAUGCGUAGAGAUGUGGAGGAACACCGAUGGCGAAGGCAGCCCCCUGGGACGAUACUGACGCUGAGGCACGAAAGCGUGGGGAGCAAACAGG
rnacentral:rRNA from 1 species